rnacentral:rRNA from 1 species
GAUGAACGCUAGCGGCAGGCCUAACACAUGCAAGUCGAGGGGUAGAACACUUCGGUGUUUGAGACCGGCGCACGGGUGCGUAACGCGUAUGCAAUCUACCUUGUACAGGGGAAUAGCCCAGAGAAAUUUGGAUUAAUGCCCCAUAGUAUAUAACCUUCGCAUGUUGGUUAUAUUAAAGUUCCAACGGUACAAGAUGAGCAUGCGUCCCAUUAGUUAGUUGGUAAGGUAACGGCUUACCAAGACGAUGAUGGGCAGGGGUCCUGAGAGGGAGAUCCCCCACACUGGUACUGAGACACGGACCAGACUCCUACGGGAGGCAGCAGUGAGGAAUAUUGGUCAAUGGUCGCAAGACUGAACCAGCCAUGCCGCGUGCAGGAAGACGGUCCUAUGGAUUGUAAACUGCUUUUAUACAGGAAGAAACCCUCCCACGUGUGGGAGCUUGACGGUACUGUAGGAAUAAGGAUCGGCUAACUCCGUGCCAGCAGCCGCGGUAAUACGGAGGAUCCAAGCGUUAUCCGGAAUCAUUGGGUUUAAAGGGCCCGUAGGCGGUCUUAUAAGUCAGUGGUGAAAGCCCAUCGCUCAACGAUGGAACUGCCAUUGAUACUGUAAGACUUGAAUGCUUAGGAAGUAACUAGAAUAUGUAGUGUAGCGGUGAAAUGCUUAGAUAUUACAUGGAAUACCAAUUGCGAAGGCAGGUUACUACUAAGUGAUUGACGCUGAUGGACGAAAGCGUGGGGAGCGAACAGGAUUAGAUACCCUGGUAGUCCACGCCGUAAACGAUGGAUACUAGCUGUUCGGAGCAAUCUGAG